AUCACUUCUUGGCCUUUUGGCUAAGACCAAGUGUAGUACAUUUUCUAUAGAACAGAAGAUCUAACAAAUCUGGAAAGUUCAGCAUGUUUGUUUGUUUUCUUGCUUGCUUGUUGGCUUGCUUGCUUGUUUUGCAAUACUGGGGACUGAACCCAGGGGUGUUCCACCACUGAGCUUCAUCCCCAGCUUUUU
ensembl:snRNA U2 U2 spliceosomal RNA